rnacentral:ncRNA from 1 species
UUAUAGAGUUAAAGUUUUAUUCUUGCUUGUUAAAUUUAUUUUGAGUUGAUUUUAUAUGUAAAAUAUUUUGAGCAUAAGGGUCUUAAAGGUUGUGUGGUGAAUUUUGCAGUAAAGAGUAUUAUAAAUUAAAAGGGUUUUUGAUCUAGUCAUUUUCGUUAAAUAUUGAUUAAAUAUGUGCCAGCAGUCGCGGUUAUACAUAAAAUAUGAAUAAAUAUUAUUAGUUAAAUUAGUUAUUUUGUUUCUUUUAAUCUUAUUUUGGUUUUUGUUUGGUGAAAUUUUAAAUUUUGUUUAUGAUUAAGGUAGAUAUAAGGAGGCUAUGAAAUCUUUUAUUUAAACUAGGAUUAGAUACCCUAUUAUUAUAGAUAUAAUUUAUUUAAACUUGAGUAGUAUUAGUUAUGGUCUUAAAACUUAAAGAAUUUGGCGGUAUCUUAGUCUGUUCAGAGGAAUCUGUCCUAUAAUCGAUAGUCCGCGUUGAACCUUACUUAAUUUUAUUUAGUAUGUAUACCGCCGUUUAUUGAAAAUCUUUUUAGGGUAUUUUCUUGAUAUUUUAUUUAAUAGCAUUUCAGGUCAAGGUGCAGCUUAUAAUUAAGUGGAGAUGGAUUACAUUUCAAUAAUGAAUAAUGAAUUAUUAGUUGUAAUUUUAAUAUGAAGGUGGAUUUGAUAGUAAUUUUGUAUAUAUUAUUGUUGUGAUUAGAGCUCUAAGAUGUGCACACAUCGCCCGUCACUCUCGUUAAUUAAGAUGAGAUAAGUCGUAACAAAGUAGGUGUACCGGAAGGUGUAGCUAGAAUGAU